rnacentral:lncRNA from 1 species
CCAUUCAACCAACUGACAGCAUUGAACUCUCCUGCUUAUUUACAGCAGCAACAACUACUACCAUUCAGCCAGCUAGCUGGUGUGAGCCCUGCUACCUUCUUGACACAACCACAGUUGUUGCCGUUCUACCAGCACGCUGCGCCUAACGCUGGCACCCUCUUACAACUGCAACAAUUGCUGCCAUUCAACCAACUUGCUUUGACAAACCCAGCAGCAUUCUACCAACAACCCAUCAUUGGUGGUGCCCUCUUUUAGAUUUCUUAUGAGUUAUAGUUCAAUAAUAAAGUUUUUUGUCUGAUGUUUGUGGCUUCCCAGAAAUAAGAAAGUACAUUUCUAGAUUCUUAUGUGCUUCUAGUCUCCAAAUGUGGUUGAUAGUUAUUUUGCUCUAAGAUCAACAGUAAUGAAGUAUAAAUCAUCGUUGUGGUGUGCUACUCGGUUAAUUGAGCAUUAACACACACAAACAUGACGAGGAUGGUAUAAUCUCCAAAAAUGUGUACUUUGUUAGGUGGGACCCUAUAGCCUUGAUUAAUGUGCUAUGUUAGGCAUGCCUGGAAACGUGUGACGCAUAUGUUUUGUGAACCUGUUGAUAUUAUAUGUGCUUUUAUAUUACCAUAUUUUAUUAAAAUACUAAUAUUUAUUACUAGUAAGAUAUAACAUUCUAUCUAGCUUAAAAACUAACCAUAAAUAUUCCAUAAUAACUAGAUUUACCAAACUAAUAUACUAAAUAUACAUAAUAAAUACAAAAUUAACAAGACAAUAAUCAAUAUUUAUGAGCUUAAUAUAUUUAGACAUUAUGGUUGGUCGACGAUAAUCAUGCUAACUUUUCGUAAUUGCUUGAUUGUAAAUAUGCUUAGAAUAAUGCCUCUUUGUUCUACAUGGCAAAUAGGGACCAUUAUGGUGUAACACCCUGGGAACCACAAACACCCCGAAAUGCUACUAAACUACACAACUAACCUUCAUAUAUAAAAUUUCGACAGCAUCUCCUUUGAAAAUUUGCAUAGACGUGGAAGCAACAGAGUAUAAACAGAUAUCAUGAUAAGAAAACAUACUAGACAUUAAUAAUCUGCUAGAAAUGGGAAGAUAACCAUAACGACAUAAACUGAAUUAACUAGUGUGCACAACUUGUUAAAAACAAACAUCGUUGACAAGAAGUUUCUAAUUAAAUCAUGGUUGUGCCUGGGCAGCGUUAUUAUGAGAGUGAAGGUGGACGUGAUGCUACUUCCCUCAUUCCCAACAUGAAUCAAGUACCUGCAUUGAGCAAUGCAAGAGUGAGAUGAAAACAUCUCAGCAAGUAAAUUGUUUUGACGAGAUAUUUAAACCAAAAAAAUUUGAUUUACUCAACAUUUUAAAGGGAUCACAAUUGAGAUCAGAAAUACUUGUAGAUAUAGAACUCAAUAGUCCCAAAAUAACCAGUGCCAUCUCAUUUCCUCAAACAACCACAAUAGGUUGUAUAACACUUCCCUGCGUCAUCAAUACCUGCAAAUAUCACUUCAAUGUAUGCAUAGGAAUGCAAUGUUUAAGUCCUCUGCAUUCAUACUUCUUAGAGUAUAAAACCACACCAUCUGCAAAUAUCACUUCAAUGAAUGCAUAUGAAUGCAAUGCAUAUGUCCUCUGCCUUCAUACCUCUAAGGGUAUGAAGCCGAAUCGUACCCCUCCUCGGGCAACGUACGAUGCUAAGUUGUACCGGUACGGUCGGACCAUAGGUCACGACAAAACUUCAUAUGCAAGUGAAUCAUGACAUGUAUAUGGCUUGCUGCAUUUAUCAAUAUACUUCACUUCCUUCAUAUACAAUACAAACCUCAAAUAAUACUUCGUUUACCUUCAGAUACAAUACAAACCUCAAAUAAUACUUCAUUCACCUUCAGGGGUGUUUAUUAAUCUCGUGGGUCAUACUCGAAUCAUCAUCAUCAUCAAUGAUGAUUAAGCAUCAGUAUAAUACAAUCAAGUAAAGCAUCACCAUAGAGUUCAAUUAUGAAAGAAUUCGAUGAUUCUGAAUAUUAGAGUGUAUGCGAUGAAACAACAACGUCAAAACGGUAGCAACCACCGCUACAUUCAUUUGCCUUCAUCGAAGAAGAAAAAUGUACUAGGCAUGAUUCAGAGUGUAGACACCUGCUGUGGGGCUUAAAACUUAGUACAAAUAUUCCACAAACAUUUGCCAACAAUUAACAAAUCGCUCCUACACUUGAAACCAAGACCCGGUGGAAUGACUCCCACCCUGAACCACAUGCCAAACAAUAGUAGUGCUGUUUGUUAAUUUUGUAUCUUUAAAAUUAUAACAGUGGUGAUAUCAAACAAAUACUCUAGAAGUUUCUACACAAAAUACUCUACAACUUCGGUAUUCAAUGGAUAAUUAAAUUUUGCCAUCUAUAAGUUCUAAAACAUCUGAUAAGAUAACUGACUGAAUUUGUUUCAGACAGCAGCAUAGUUAACUUCAAAAUUCGAUAUCUCCCAAACUCCUCAACCAAAAAUUAUGAAAUUAUGCUGACAGUAAGAACUUUUUGUCCCUCUACAAAAGUAUCUAUAGUUGGAAGAGCCAAUUCGGCCAUUUACUAGAUGAAACCUACCAGUUAACAGACCCGCUCAUUUUUGUCAGGCAAACAAGAACCCUUAUAUAUCAAAGAGUAGUGGAUUUGAAUUUGUCUAAUAUGAAGUUUAUGGGCUUGGAUCAUUUAAAGUAUUUUAUAAUUCUGAAAGACAAGAUUAAACUAACUAUGUAUGAUCCUUUAGCACCGUACAGAUGGUCGAUGGGACAGUUACAUGGUUUAUAUAGAUGGACCUAUCUAUAUUCCUUCAGUGGUUGAGAAAAAGGUAAAGGUGUGUCACACUCACGUGUGCGCCGCCUCUGCCGAGAUGAGGCAUGGCGUUGCAAGGUGAGGCAUGGCAUGGUGCAGCACGAUCGCAGUCAUGGUCGUGGCACAGUGUAGCACUGUUGUGGAUAGAUAGAUAAACUAUUGUUGUAGUUAGAGUGCAUGAGUUUUUGAAUGCAACACUAGGAUUUUCACAAUUUAACUUAAUUAAGAAGUUAUAUCUUGAUGACACAGAGUUACCUGACCAUUGAUCUCACAUGCCCUUUUAGCUCUCUUGUUCUCUAGACUCACCCUGACUAUUGAGGUCUCUUGACUCGCCAAUAUAAACACCAUCCUAUCAUUUGCUCUCGAAUACUUUUGUGUCACAACUCAACUGUCAGAUGAGUACUCCAUUACAGCACUGAGCAGGCCUCCGAAAUGAAUAUCUACUCAGAUGAAGGACGACAAUCGUGUUCUAGGGAAAUAUCAGUGACACAACUCCUUACUUCCUCUGCUUCUUCCUAGUGUUUUUUGUUGUGAUUGAGUCGACACAGCAACAACACUGCACUAUUACAACCAGUACGACUAUAUUAACUAGCAAUGUCUUCCUUAUAUGUUACUAUUUAUUUUGCUCAUAUUCAUUAUGUUUAAAUCACAUAGGCACCUUUUUGUUGGCAUCAAAAAAUUAGUAUCAACUUUCUAGAUUAAAGUGAAACUAAAAGUACCUAAAUUUCUAUCGGUGGGGAUCGAGUGAUUCUUUAAACCGAUUAUUACACAAGUGAACCACACUAAAAUUAACAUUGGUGAAUCGUGCCAUGAUUUUUUCUAGUGGAAAAUAGCCAAACCAAGCAACACAUAUGUGGCUAUCGUUACACAUGUGUAAAGGUAUUGCAUCACACCAUUGUCACCCAUGUAUUUGGACAAUACCGAGAGGAAAAACCACUUAUUUAUUGUAUUUUAUCAAGUUUGUCUUGCUUACGUAUAAAUUAUAACCCAACAAAGUAAUCACUAAAUGUCAAAACCAACUAGAUACCAUGUCAUCUCUACCUUAUCUUACUAAUAUUCUUUUUGCAAAAUCCAAAAUUAAUCUUGCACAAGCACAAGGACUGAGAUGUGUAUAAAUAUCUCUUAAAUUAGUAGCUAAUAUAUCACACAUAUUAUUGAGACCAACUAGCAACAUAGAAAGCACAAUAGUGUACCAACAAUGGCAGCCAAAAUAUUUUGCCUCCUUAUGCUCCUUGGUCUUUCUGCAAGUGCUGCUACGGCGACCAUUUUCCCACAAUGCUCACAAGCUCCUAUAGCUUCCCUUCUUCCCCCGUACCUCUCACCAGCGGUGUCUUCGGUAUGUGAAAACCCAAUUCUUCAACCCUAUAGGAUCCAACAGGCAAUCGCAGCUGGCAUCUUACCUUUAUCACCCUUGUUCCUCCAACAAUCAUCAGCCCUAUUACAGCAGUUACCUUUGGUGCAUUUAUUGGCACAAAACAUCAGGGCACAACAACUACAACAACUUGUGCUAGCAAACCUUGCUGCCUACUCUCAGCAACAACAGUUUCUUCCAUUCAACCAACUAGCUGCAUUGAACUCUGCUUCUUAUUUGCAACAACAACAACUACCAUUCAGCCAGCUAUCUGCUGCCUACCCCCAGCAAUUUCUUCCAUUCAACCAACUGACAGCUUUGAACUCUCCUGCUUAUUUACAGCAGCAACAACUACUACCAUUCAGCCAGCUAGCUGGUGUGAGCCCUGCUACCUUCUUGACACAACCACAAUUGUUGCCGUUCUACCAGCACGCUGCGCCUAACGCUGGCACCCUCUUACAACUGCAACAAUUGCUGCCAUUCAACCAACUUGCUUUGACAAACCCAACAGCAUUCUACCAACAACCCAUCAUUGGUGGUGCCCUCUUUUAGAUUUCUUAUGAGUUAUAGUUCAAUAAUAAAGUUUUUUGUCUGAUGUUUGUGGCUUCCCAGAAAUAAGAAAGUACAUUUCUAGAUUCUUAUGUGCUUCUAGUCUCCAAAUGUGGUUGAUAGUUAUUUUGCUCUAAGAUUAGCAGUAAUGAAGUAUAAAUCAUCGUUGUGGUGUGCUACUCGGUUAAUUGAGCAUUAACACACACAAACAUGACGAGGAUGGUAUAAUCUCCAAAAAUGUGUACUUUGUUAGGUGGGACCCUAUAGCCUUGCAGAAUGUGCUACGUUAGGCAUGCCAAUGGAAACGUGUGACACAUACGUUUUGUGAAUCUGUUGAUAUUAUAUGUGCUUUUAUAUUACCAUAUUUUAUUAAAAUACUAAUAUUUAUUACUAGUAAGAUAUAACAUUCUAUCUAGCUUAAAAACUAACCAUAAAUAUUCCAUAAUAACUAGAUUUACCAAACUAAUAUACUAAAUAUACAUAAUAAAUAUAAAAUUAACAAGACAAUAAUUAAUAUUUAUGAGCUUAAUUUAUUUAGACAUUAUGGUUGGUCGACGAUAAUCAUGCUAACUUUCCGUAAUUGCUUGAUUGUAAAUAUGCUUAGAAUAAUGCCUCUUUGUUCUACAUGGCAAAUAGGGACCAUUAUGGUGUAACACCCCGGGAUCCACAAACACCCCGAAAUGCUACUAAACUACACAACUAACCUUCAUAUAUAAAAUUUCGACAGCAUCUCCUUUGAAAAUUUGCAUAAACGUGGAAGCAACAGAGUAUAAACAGAUAUCAUGAUAAGGAAACAUACUAGACAUUAAUAAUCUGCUAGAAAUGGGAAGAUAACCAUAACGACAUAAACUGAAUUAACUAGUGUGCACAACUUGUUAAAAACAAACAUCGUUGACAAGAAGUUUCUAAUUAAAUCAUGGUUGUGCCUGGGCAGCGUUAUUAUGAGAGUGAAGGUGGACGUGAUGCUACUUCCCUCAUUCCCAACAUGAAUCAAGUACCUGCAUUGAGUAAUGCAAGAGUGAGAUGAAAACAUCUCAGCAAGUAAAUUGUUUUGACGAGAUAUUUAAACCAAAAAAAUUGAUUUAAUCAACAUUUUAAAGGGAUCACAAUUGAGAUCAGAAAUACUUGUAGAUAUAGAACUCAAUAGUCCCAAAAUAACCAAUGCCAUCUCAUUUCCUCAAACAACCACAAUAGGUUGUAUAACACUUCCCUGCGUCAUCAAUACCUGCAAAUAUCACUUCAAUGUAUGCAUAGGAAUGCAAUGUUUAAGUCCUCUGCAUUCAUACUUCUUAGAGUAUAAAACCACACCAUCUGCAAAUAUCACUUCAAUGAAUGCAUAUGAAUGCAAUGCAUAUGUCCUCUGCCUUCAUACCUCUAAGGGUAUGAAGCCGCAUCGUACCCCUCCUCGGGCAACGUACGAUGCUAAGUUGUACCGGUACGGUCGGACCAUAGGUCACGACAAAACUUCAGAUGCAAGUGAAUCAUGACAUGUAUAUGGCAUGCUGCAUUUAUCAAUAUACUUCACUUCCUUCAUAUACAAUACAAACCUAAAAUAAUACUUCGUUUACCUUCAGAUACAAUACAAACCUCAAAUAAUACUUCAUUCACCUUCAGGGGUGUUUAUUAAUCUCGUGGGUCAUACUCAAAUCAUCAUCAUCAUCAAUGAUGUUUAAGCAUCAGUAUAAUACAAUCAAGUAAAGCAUCACCAUAGAGUUCAAUUAUGAAAGAAUUCGAUGAUUCUGAAUAUUAGAGUGUAUGCGAUGAAACAACAAAGUCAAAACGGUAGCAACCACCUCUACAUUCACUUGCCUUCAUCGAAGAAGAAAAAGGUACUAGGCAUGAUUCGGAGUGUAGACACCUGCUGUGGGGCUUAAAACUUAGUACAAAUAUUCCAUAAACAUUUGCCAACAAUUAACAAAUCGCUCCUACACUUGAAACCAAGACCCGGUGGAAUGACUCCCACCCUGAACCACAUGCCAAACAACAAUAGUGUUGUUUGUUAAUUUCUAUCUUUAAAAUUAUAACAGUGGUGAUAUCAAACAAAUACUCUAUACGUUUCUACACAAAAUACUCUACAACUUCGGUAUUCAAUGGAUAAUUAAAUUUUGCCAUCUAUAAGUUCUAAAACAUCUGACAAGAUAACUGACUGAAUCUGUUUCAGACAACAGCAUAGUUAACUUCAAAAUUCGAUAUCUCCCUAACUCCUCAACAAAAAAUUAUGAAAUUAUGCUGACAGUAAGAACUUUUAUCCCUCUACAAAAGUCUCCAUAGUUGAAAGAGCCAAUUCGGCCAUUUACUAGAUGAAACCUACCAGUUAACGGACCCGCUCAUUUUUGUCAAGCAAACAAGAACCCUUAUAUAUCAAAGAGUAGUGGAUUUGAAUUUGUCUAAUAUGAAGUUUACGGGCUUGGCUCAUUUAAAGUAUUUAAUAAUUCUGAAAGACAAGAUUAAACUAACUAUGUAUGAUCCUUUAGCACCGUACAGAUGGUCGAUGGGACAGUUACAUGGUUUAUAUAGAUGGACCUAUCUAUAUUCCUUCAGUGGUUGAGAAAAAAGUAAAGGUGUGUCACACUCACGUGUGCGCCGCCUCCGCCGAGACGAGGCAUGGCGUUGCAAGGUGAGGCAUGGCAUGGUGUAGCACGAUAGCAGUCAUGGUCGUGGCACAGUGUAGCACUGUUGUGGAUAGAUAGGUAAACUAUUGUUGUAGUUAGAGUGCAUGAGUUUUUGAAUGCAACACUAGAAUUUUCACAAUUUAACUUAAUUAAGAAGUUAUAUCUUGAUGACACAGAGUUACCUGACCAUUGAUCUCACAUGCCCUUUUAGCUCUCUCGUUCUCUAGACUCACCCUGACUAUUUAAGUCUCUUGACUCGCCAAUAUAAACACCAUCCUAUCAUUUGCUCUAGAAUACUUCUGUGUCACAACUCAACUGUCAGAUGAGUACUCCAUUACAGCACUUACGUACACGAGUUCUAUGAGAGCAGGCCUCCAAAAUGAAUAUCUACUUAGAUGAAGGACGACAAUCGUGUUCUAGGGAAAUAUCAGCGACACAACUCCUUACUUCCUUCGCUUCUUCCUAGUGUUUUUUGUUGUGAUUGAGUCGACACAGCAACAACACUGCACUAUUACAACCAGUACGACUAUAUCAACUAGCAAUGUCUUCCUUAUAUGUUACUAUUUAUUUUGCACAUAUUCAUUAUGUUUAAAUCACAUAGGCACCUUUCUAUUGGCAUCAAAAAAUUAGUAUCAACUUUCUAGAUUAAAAUGAAACUAAAAGUACAUAAAUUUCUAUCGGUGGGGAUCGAGUGAUUCUUUAAACCGAUUAUUACACAAGUUAACCACACUAAAAUUAACAUUGGUGAAUCGUGCCAUGAUUUUUUUUCUAGUGGAAAAUAGCCAAACCAAGCAACACAUAUGUGGCUAUCGUUACACAUGUGUAAAGGUAUUGCAUCACACUAUUGUCACCCAUGUAUUUGGACAAUACCGAGAGGAAAAACCACUUAUUUAUUGUAUUUUAUCAAGUUUGUCUUGCUUACGUAUAAAAUUAUAACCCAACAAAGUAAUCACUAAACGUCAAAACCAACUAGAUAUCAUGUCAUCUCUACCUUAUCUUACUAAUAUUCUUUUUGCAAAAUCCAAAAUUAAUCUUGCACAAGCACAAGGACUGAGAUGUGUAUAAAUAUCUCUUAAAUUAGUAGCUAAUAUAUCGCACAUAUUAUUUAGACCAACUAGCAACAUAGAAAGCACAAUAGUGUACCAACAAUGGCAGCCAAAAUAUUUUGCCUCCUUAUGCUCCUUGGUAUUUCUGCAAGUGCUGCUACGGCGACCAUUUUCCCGCAAUGCUCACAAGCUCCUAUAGCUUCCCUUCUUCCCCCGUACCUCUCACCAGCGGUGUCUUCGGUAUGUGAAAACCCAAUUCUUCAACCCUACAGGAUCCAACAGGCAAUCGCAGCUGGCAUCUUACCUUUAUCACCCUUGUUCCUCCAACAAUCAUCAGCCCUAUUACAGCAGUUACCUUUGGUGCAUUUAUUGGCACAAAACAUCAGGGCACAACAACUACAACAACUUGUGCUAGCAAACCUUGCUGCCUACUCUCAGCAACAGCAGUUUCUUCCAUUCAACCAACUAGCUGCAUUGAACUCUGCUUCUUAUUUGCAACAACAACAACUACCAUUCAGCCAGCUACCUGUUGCCUACCCCCAGCAAUUUCUUCCAUUCAACCAACUGGCAGCAUUGAACUCUCCUGCUUAUUUACAGCAGCAACAACUACUACCAUUCAGCCAGCUAGCUGGUGUGAGCCCUGCUACCUUCUUGACACAACCACAGUUGUUGCCGUUCUACCAGCACGCUGCGCCUAACGCUGGCACCCUCUUACAACUGCAACAAUUGCUGCCAUUCAACCAACUUGCUUUGACAAAC